GGUUAUGGCUCAGUGGUAGAGCGCUCACCUAGUGUGGGUGAGGCACUGGGUUCGCUCUCAGCACCA
rnacentral:tRNA from 1 species